rnacentral:rRNA from 1 species
GUGGGGAAUCUUGCGCAAUGGGCGAAAGCCUGACGCAGCCAUGCCGCGUGAAUGAUGAAGGUCUUAGGAUUGUAAAAUUCUUUCACCGGGGAAGAUAAUGACGGUACCCGGAGAAGAAGCCCCGGCUAACUUCGUGCCAGCAGCCGCGGUAAUACGAAGGGGGCUAGCGUUGCUCGGAAUUACUGGGCGUAAAGGGCGCGUAGGCGGACAUUUAAGUCAGAGGUGAAAGCCCAGGGCUCAACCUUGGAAUUGCCUUUGAUACUGGAUGUCUUGAGUUCGGGAGAGGUGAGUGGAAUGCCGAGUGUAGAGGUGAAAUUCGUAGAUAUUCGGAAGAACACCAGUGGCGAAGGCGACAUACUGGUCCAUUACUGACGCUGAGGCUCGAAAGCGUGGGGAGCAAACAGGAUUAGAAACCCCGGUAGUCC